AGAAUCGAAGUAAACAAACAUUGGAUCCAAUACUUGGCGCAUUGUUGUACUCUCUUUUGCCAGUUCAACCAUUCUUUGAAUACAAAUUUGAGCCCAAACUUUAGGUAUCUCAAUCUCUUCCCUAGUCAAAAGAGAAGGGUCUUUCUUUUCUGGACGUGGUCUGAUGAUCAUGCAGCUAGAGCUAGUAUCACAACUGCCAACUGCCCCUCUGCCUUCAGAUCUAACUACUUCAUCGACCCAAUUAUGAUGUGGCCCCCCUCUUAUAUCAUCAUGGACAUCUGGUUCAUAGUUAUCUAAGGUGACUUGUACAAUCUCAUCGAAAGCAGCAAAAAUAUAUAAGAACUCUGCCAUGAACCACACCAUUGCUGAAAGGCAUUGCAGGCUAGAAGCUCUCAAGCGGCUCUCAUGUUCAUUCCCGUGAACACAUGCCAGCUUGCAAACUUGGUGCACAAAUUUUUCAAUGUUAUGCGUGUAAGUUCCAUCUGUCUGACUAUAGAUGAACAUUGUUAAGGUCUGGCAUCCAAGUAUAAGCAAAGCAUCCUGCUUAGGUUUGUCCAACAGUUCACUGACCACAUUCAACAAACUAAUAGCAAAGUAUGCCAUCUGCUCCUUGCACACACAAAGCAACUUUUUAUAAGUCUCUGUGACAAUAUUAAUGAAAUUGAUGUGCUCACUUCGAAGUUCCUUGUAGCACCUUUCUUCAAGAUAUUUUGCAAUCUUUGGGAUUCGAANNNNNNNGCAGCAUAUUCACAUAACUUGAUAAUUUUUCUUUCAUUUGGAAGCGCAUCCGACUUAGGGAAUAUCUCUGCAAGCAGUUUUUUGUACCGCUUGACCGGUUGUCG
rnacentral:misc_RNA from 1 species